UACGUAGGGGGCUAGCGUUGUCCGGAUUUAUUGGGCGUAAAGAGCUCGUAGGUGGUUCGGUAAGUCGGAUGUGAAAUCUCCAGGCUCAACCUGGAGGGGUCAUUCGAUACUGCCGUGACUAGAGUUCGGUAGAGGAGUGUGGAAUUCCUGGUGGAGCGGUGAAAUGCGCAGAGAUCAUGAGGAAGACCAGUGGCGAAGGCGGGUCUCUGGACAGUUCCUGACACUGAGACACGAAGGCCAGGGGAGCAAACGGG
rnacentral:rRNA from 1 species